AGACAGAAACUCUGUGUAAGGCCCAGGUGGACGAUAGAUGAUAACAAAUAAGACUGUUUUUUGAGUUUUACAGCUGGGGUGGACGAGGCUGAGCAUCAGUCUUUCAAAUGAGUUAAAACUCUCAGUCUUGAAGAUUGCUGCCACACCGCCCCCUCGGCCUGUGCCUCGAGGUUUCUGAUAGUUACUAUGACUCGGGGGGUGUUGAUUCAUUCAAACUAACAUAAUCAUCCUGCUGUAACCAGGUUUCUGUAAGUCAAAGUAAAUUGAUUUAUUGAUAAAUUACUAACUCGUGUACUAACAGAGACUUGAAAGAGAGAGACCUAAUAUUUAAUAAUCCACAUUUCACCGUUUUACUCUCCAGUGCUGUUUAGAAUACUGUAUUGUUCUUUCUUUGUUUUUUAUGUUUAAAAAAUGUUGUUUAAAUGUUGUUGUUAUCUUUAAAUGUUGUUUUGGCUGAUUUGUUGUUUGGUUUUUUGUUUUUGUUUUUUGCCUGUUUGGGAGCUGACAUAGCCUCUAAGGGGAUGGGGUUUUGGGGGGAUACAGGAGGAGAGAAGCUGCAGAGAGGCGUGUAAGACUGUAACUCUGCUUCCUGGUCCCAGCUCCAGGUAGUCACGUUUUGGUGGGUUAAAUUUGGAUGGAGCAGCUCUUAUUUCUACAAAUCUGGCAGGGAGGAUGCCAUCUCUCCUAACAAGACCAGGUUUCCACCUGAAAGUUUCCCAAUUAUCUGUAAAUCUUGAUGUCUUGAUGUCUUUUUGGACAGCACUGGACAUUAUUUUGUCAAAGUUAUACACCGAUUCAAUAUUAAUUUUACUGAUCUCUGACUGACAUAACCGGGUGUCAUUACUGCCGACGUGAAUUAUAAUUUUACUGAAUGUACGUUCACUCUUAGGCAGCAGUUUUAAAUUUCCCUCAGUGUCACCUGUUCUGGCCCCUAGAAGACCAUUACUAUGGUUGCUGAUGUCUCUAGCUUCACAUGUUUAAGAACAGAAUCGCCACUUUCAAGAUUUCGAUCUCUGGUGGGUGUGUUGCAGAGUGGAGAAAAAGCAGUUUGACACAUGAACAGGUUGGUGGUGUACCUGGGGCUUCUGUUUAAGACUGUGCUUCCUCAUCACCGUCACCCAGCCAUCCUGUUUUCCCGGCUGCUUGGGGAGAGCUAAUUACACUACACUACCUUCGGCUGCACCAGCUACAGGGGCUGGGCUAGCUAAAGGUAUUUCAAGGGUGCAAAACAGUCUCCAAUUCAGUGAUCCUGGCCUGGCAAAUAGGCUAUAUUUAUUUUAAGAAUAAUUAUUACUAAAGGAGGUCAAGGAAUAACUAAACAUCUGACACAAUGAGCAGGAAAGUGUAGGUGGGACAGGUGAAGAGGCCCUGCUGUUAAGUCGGCUGUGAGCUAAGCUGGGGAAUCCCUAAAGACACAGUGAGUUUGCUUCGGAUGAAGCAUGUGACGAUUACACUAUGAAAUAAGACGUUAUCUAUAAGUUUUUAAUUAAAUCGCUACACAAAAACACCACUAUGUGUUGGACCAGGAAGUGCGAACACCAAGUGACCCAAAGGAAUUGAGAUAUUGUGUAAAAUAUUGUUCAUAACUUUAAGCUUUAAUACAGUCUCACCAGGUAAGUUCUCUAACUCCCCUCCCACACCCCAAAAAUUGUCAUGAAUUAGUUAGAGCAACACCUGCUUUUUUUUUUUCUUUCUUUUUUUUUUUUUUAAUACAAGGCUUUGAACAUGUUUAUUUCUGCUGUAGAUUUUACAUUUUUAUGGAAGUCUAUGGGGAUUGACUUCCUUUUGGAGUUUGCUUCAAGUAGUUGUUUGAGAAACUGCAGAUUUUGGCAAAUCAGCAAUAUCAGCACUGGAUACUCUUCAAGUAUGGCUUUGCCAUACUUCAUGGAUGCUCAGAUGGAACACGAAAAGUUAUUAUUUUAAAUACUGACAGUUCCUGUAGCAUUCAUCUUGGUAGUUUACCGUGGAUUCAUAAUUAUGUCAUAUGUCACAACCAUGAUAAAUCAUAGUCACAAGCAAAUUAUAAUUAUUGUUUCACUCCCACAUAGUCUUUUCAAGCCCUUGCAUGUAGGGCACAGGGAUGUUAUCCUAUGGGAAAUUUGUCUGAGAGCAGAGUCACCUUAGUUAUUGUUAAUUCAUAAACUUUAAUUUCAGCUCCCGCUUCAUGCAGUGUUAAAUUUGUGCACCAGGACUUCUGUUGUGCAACUAUGAAAUACUAUAAUUUGCUUGUGAUUAUGUAUUAUAUGGCUUGCCACAUAUGGCAUAAAUAUGAUAUCAUGCUAAUUGUGCAUCUGCUUACUUGUGUCUAGCACUCAGAGUACAGCUUACCAGGGGCUUAUUCAGAUGGGCAUAUCAGUGUUAGCACUAUGAAGUUAAAUAAAACCUGCUGUCUGAUCAUUCCUUUCUGCUAAGUCAUCUAAACGUAAAGUCAUCCCAUAUUUGUAAUGAGCCCCUGGUAGCUUACCCGCAUCUGGCUUGGUGUUUAGAGAGGAAGAUUCCUGUUGGUCGACGGCCCUUCAGUCAGGCAGGCAGGAGGAGGAGCAGCUUCUCAGGGGACGAAGAGCAGAGUCCACCCCCUUACCCUGCCCAGGGGCCAGCUCGGCCCAGACCCCGCACCCAUUUCCACCUAACCCACAAAUCAGAGUCUCUCCUGCGAAUGAAAGAGGAGACCGCUGAAGUGGAUGAAUUCACCUUCUCGCAGGGCACCUCAGACCAAGAGAGCAAUGGCUCGGGCAGUUACUACAUUAGACAGGAACCCUGAUGUGACAAAAUCGAGGAGGAGGAAACCACAAAAGGACAUCUCUGGAAACACCAAACCAACAAUCAGGAAUGGGGAGAGUCAAACUCACCUGAGAGGAUACUUGAAGAGUGAUGCCACAGGCCACCUGUAAUGUCAGCACAUGAGGAAUACCAUUCCUCAACAUCACUUAAAACGAUUUUCUAACCUUGUAGGGGUGUGUCCACAUAAUCACUCAGAAAGUCCUGUCUAAUCAUAGAAAGCACCCAGAGUCAGGCCUGGGUCAUAGAUGUUUGGGCAUUCUCUUUCUACGACCUGCAGCUUUUUCUCCCUUUCUUUGGCUAUCUGAACCAGAUGAGCUAUUUGGAUGAUUUUAUGUCUUGCAAGCCCAUCCAGCCUCAGCCAUAAUGUGGGCCACAUACAGAGACCUGGAGAAACUGUGACAACAAUUUAUUGAGCCAGGUCUUUAGGUUUUCUUGCGUUUGUUGUAUGGGAAGGGGGGGGGGUUGUUGGUGGUGGGGGUUUUUUUGUUUAAUUUUUUUUGUUUUUGUAUAAAAAUGUCAGAGUCAGCCGUUUAGCAGCUGCAUGAGCAAAGUAAGGCUGUCAGAAAGAUGAGCAGAGUUGUGUAUAUUUUUGCAGUAUUGCCAGGUGGACUUUAAUUUUAAUAAUAGUACUUGAAUUUUUCCUUAUUUCAUUUUGUUUUGAUUUUCAGGUUGAUUUUUUUUUAUGUCCUUUUUUUCAUGUUUUGGUGGCUGUUUGAGUAACGUGUUGUUUUAUAAAGUGACUAUUCACUAGUAAGUGUAGGCCUAUUCAAAUAGAGCUACACAAAGAGUUCUUGCCAUGCUGCUCAGCAUUAAUGAUGGUCUUUCCCUCCUUUUGUUCUUUUUCCUUAUAGUAUUGAACAGAAGAUUUCCACAGCUACAUUUAUUCCUCAUUUAGUUAUUACAGAACCAAAAUCUGUUGCUCUUUUUUUUUUUCCAGACUCAACAAAAUGAUGACCAGUUUGACAGAGUCCAUUACAAAAGUAGUUUUAUAAUAGAUUCUUUUUCAAUGUCCUACUAAUCUUAUUAUUAUUAUUAUUAUUAUUAUUAUUAUUAUUAUUAUUAUUAUUAACCUUUCACUAACUUUGCAAUGUUUUAAACUAAGAAGUCUUUUUGAGCCCAUUUGAGAAGCCAAGUUCUUCAUUGACCUUUUAGGGUAGCUUAUCACUUAUUUUUUUGUUAGUAGAUUUUCCUUUUUAUCCACAUUUACAGGGUUUUCCCACUUUCUGGUGCAGCUUUAUACAAAAACACAUCUUAUGCAGCUGUUGCUUUUUUUUUUUUAAUAUAUUAACAAACAAAAACACUUUUUUCACAUUCCACUGAGCUUGUAUAGACAAUAUAUAAAAUAUGGACAUGGCUACCACGACCCAUUGGUUUUCAAUUUUUAACUGUCAACAUUUAAGUUUUGACCCUUUUUGUUUUGUUUCUUGGAGCCAAAAUGAACAUAAUUGAACAACAGGUGGCUAAGUUACCAGCAAAUGCUAGCUAGGUGGUUAGCAGCCACAUACCGCCUAAUUACUGCUAAUAAAACACUCAGGUUUUCACUCACCAAGGGUGAAGCACAAACAUCUUGAAUGUUAUUUUCCACCAGCAGGGCUGAUAAUUUGUCAGAUAAAUAGAUGCCAAAAGGCAUCAACAACACAAGUAUAGUCCAGAAGUCUAGUUCAGUGACGCCAGUUAAUGGAGGUGUGGCCUGUUGCCAGCCACACCACAGCUGCCUGUGGUAGUGUGUCUCACACCACAACUUGGCCAUAUACUGGGAUAUAAGCACAUUUUUCUUUUAAUGCUGUAAAGCUGAACAUUGUAUGUAGGGGUUAUGACUUGCUUUUGGAGCUAAGCUUGAGUUUUUGGUCCUGCAGUACCUCUGUGAAUGAGCAGUUGUUGAAGCAGUUAUCACUGGGGUAGCUUCAGAUUCUGUGUGCUGUACUGAUAAAAAAAGGAUUACUGAAGCUGUGGAAAUGAAAAUGGCUUUUUUUGUUUGUUUGUUUUUUUAAAAAGAAAAAAAAAAGCUCCACAUUUUGAUGAUAUGAGAAUAUUUCAGAAGAAACAGGAAGUGUAAGUAAGCAGCAGGUCGCAAAGUUUAAAUGAAAAAUCGCACUAUUAUGAUAGGAUAUGAUGACAUGUCCCCACUGCCCGGCCAUACAAUAUGCUUUGAGCUUUACUCUCUGAUUGUAGCUGCUGUAAAAGAUGAACUUCAGUCUUAUCAGAGACUUGGCUUAUCACUUGGUCCCUGGACAUAAUCAUAAUAAUCUUGGUAUUCUGUUAAAGGUUUAUCAAUAUACAUGUCAUGUUCUUUUUCUUUUUCUUUUGAUUUCAGUUGUAAUUUUACCAAAAUCUGCAUCUGCAGUGUGCCACAAUUAUAUUCAAUCUAUUAUUUAAAUUUUAAAAAAUAAUAUGCAAUACAGAAAAUCUUGAAAGGGGAAAAAAAAAUUCCUUAUUCUGAAGUAAUGUAACGUAUGACAUAAUGAAAUGGGAAUUAUAGAAUUCAUUGAGUAGUAGUAGUAGUAGUAGUAGUAUUAAAUACAUAUGAAUCACUUAAAAAUAUUAAAUGCACACAAAAGUUUAUUAGAAAAUUACAUUUUAAACGCCCCACCAACCCUAAUCUGCUGGAUAAAAAGUUAAGGAGGUAGAUGGCAGAAAUGUAAAUUCACUUCAUGGCUGUUGUUGGUUUAUUCUUUAGUUAAUGGAAUAUGAUUAAAUACUGUAUGUGGCAUACUUGAGACUACAUACUCCAUUUAGUUUCUGUCACUCAAUAUAGGUGGCUGGACUGCCAUGUUAA